GACGAACCGUGCGAACGUUAUUCGGAAUCACUGGGCUUAAAGCGCGUGUAGGCGGGUUGGCGCGUCGACCGCUGAAAUCCCCCGGCUCAACCGGGGAACGGGCGUCGAUACGGCCGGCCUGGAGGGGCGUAGGGGGACCUGGAACUUCCGGUGGAGCGGUGAAAUGCGUUGAGAUCGGAAGGAACGCCCGUGGCGAAAGCGAGGUCCUGGACGCCUGCUGACGCUGAGACGCGAAAGCCAGGGGAGCGAACGGG
rnacentral:rRNA from 1 species